GACGAACGCUGGUGGCGUGCUUAACACAUGCAAGUCGAACGGGAUUUAGUAAACAGACGCCUCGGUGGAAGAUUACUAAUGAGAGUGGCGAACGGGUGAGUAACGCGUGAGCAACCUGCCUAUGACAGUGGGAUAGCCUCGGGAAACCGGGAUUAAUACCGCAUAAAAUCGUAGAAACACAUGUUUUAACGGUCAAAGAUUUAUCGGUCAUAGAUGGGCUCGCGUCUGAUUAGCUAGUUGGUGAGAGAACAGCCCACCAAGGCGACGAUCAGUAGCCGGUCUGAGAGGAUGAACGGCCACAUUGGAACUGAGACACGGUCCAGACUCCUACGGGAGGCAGCAGUGGGGAAUAUUGCACAAUGGGGGAAACCCUGAUGCAGCGACGCCGCGUGAACGAAGAAGGUAUUCGUAUCGUAAAGUUCUGUCCUAUGGGAAGAUAAUGACAGUACCAUAGAAGAAAGCUCCGGCUAAAUACGUG
rnacentral:rRNA from 1 species